GUCUACGGCCAUGCCACCCUGAACACGCCAGAUCCCGUCUGAUCUCAGAAGCGAGGCAGGGUCGGGUCUGGUUAGUACUUGGAUGGGAGAUCACCGUGGAAUACCAGGUGCUGUAGGCG
rnacentral:rRNA from 1 species